rnacentral:rRNA from 1 species
CGCUGGCGGCGUGCCUAAUACAUGCAAGUCGAGCGAAUGGAUUAAGAGCUUGCUCUUAUGAAGUUAGCGGCGGACGGGUGAGUAACACGUGGGUAACCUGCCCAUAAGACUGGGAUAACUCCGGGAAACCGGGGCUAAUACCGGAUAACAUUUUGCGCCUCAUGGUGCAAAAUUGAAAGGCGGCUUCGGCUGUCACUUAUGGAUGGACCCGCGUCGCAUUAGCUAGUUGGUGAGGUAACGGCUCACCAAGGCGACGAUGCGUAGCCGACCUGAGAGGGUGAUCGGCCACACUGGGACUGAGACACGGCCCAGACUCCUACGGGAGGCAGCAGUAGGGAAUCU